UGGCGGAAAAGUGAUUAUAUAGCACGCCUAACGAAGACAUUUAACUGUCCGUCGGCGGAAAUAAUUCGUGUAUAGGCGAAUUUUGGCAUAGUUGUAGGGAAUGGUGUUCUAAUCCACAUACUUAAAGUACUGAUGGGUAGGGGAGGAGC